CGCCACGGGGCUUUUCCCCGGAGGGACUCUGCGCCUCGGCUGUACACUGCGGGGAGCAGACCACGGCCCGUCGACUAGCGGAUGAAAGCGUGAUUCAAAUGGACUUAUUCUUCAUUGGAUUCGUCUUGCUUUGGUGGUUUCUGUGGACUCACCUGUUCCCGCGUGGCGAUUACAAUGGACUUUCAUUGUUACACUUGCUCCCCCCUCUUUCCUCUGUGGACUAUAACUGGAGCCCCGAGUCGACCAGAACUUCGGAGACUCCCCCGACACGACAGACGGAUCCCCAUCGUCCGGACCACUGAGGAUCUCGCCUGUGUUGGUAGCUAUUCCCAUAUCCCUCUUCUCUCGCUCUCUCUAUCCUUUUAUCUCCUUUCAGAUCCCCACUAUCGCGUUUACUGUUUUGGCCCCUAAUAAAGGUGCAUUUGUUGUGAUUAA